rnacentral:tRNA from 1 species
GGUCCCGUAGCUCAAUUGGAUAGAGCACCUGCCUUCUAAGCAGGGGGUUGCAGGUUCGAGCCCUGCCGGGAUCACCA